rnacentral:rRNA from 1 species
CGCGUAGGCGGGGUCGUAGGUCGGCCGUGAAAUCCACCGGCUCAACCGGUGAACUGCGGUCGAAACUGCGACUCUUGAGCUUGGUAGAGGAAGACGGAAUUCCUGGUGUAGCGGUGGAAUGCGUAGAUAUCAGGAAGAACACCAGUAGCGAAGGCGGUCUUCUGGGCCACAGCUGACGCUGAGGCGCGAAAGCCGGGGGAGCGAACA